AACGCGAAGAACCUUACCUGGGCUCGAAGCACAGUGGACCGGGUAGAAUAUCCCUUUCGCAAGAACUGCUGUGGAGGUGCUGCAUGGCUGUCGUCAGCUCGUGUCGUGAGAUGUUGGGUUAAGUCCCGCAACGAGCGCAACCCUUAUCUUCAGUUGCUACCAUUUAGUUGAGCACUCUGACGAAACCGCCUCGGAUAACGGGGAGGAAGGUGGGGAUGACGUCAAGUCCUCAUGGCCUUUAUGUCCAGGGCUACACACGUGCUACAAUGGCCGGUACAAACCGUCGCAAACCCGCGAGGGGGAGCUAAUCGGAAAAAGCCGGCCUCAGUUCGGAUUAGAGUCUGCAACUCGACUCUAUGAAGCUGGAAUCGCUAGUAAUCGCGGAUCAGAACGCCGCGGUGAAUACGUUCCCGGGCCUUGUACACACCGAUAGC
rnacentral:rRNA from 1 species